CUGCACCGAUCUAAGAGGUUCAGGAAAAGAAAUUAGGAUUUUGAAGAGAACCAUACAGAUGUGAAGAAACAUGCUUAGAAUCUCAUAGAUCAUAUUCAAUAUAGGACGAUCUUACUUGGAAUCACACUAGAAUAGCCUGAAACAGGUGAAAAUGCUAUCAAAGAUGCAAACCAACUAGCCUUGGUCCCUUGAGGAACCUGGAGAUGGCAAGACUAAUGCGAGGGAGGCCAUUGGAGGCCUGAGAGGUGGUGAGGAACCACCAUAGAUAGCCAUAGGUGAGUGUCGACGAGGUUUUAUUAAGGUUAGGUUUGAGAGUGUUUGAGAACAG
rnacentral:lncRNA from 1 species